rnacentral:rRNA from 1 species
CCUACGGGAGGCUGCAGUGGGGGAUAUUGCACAAUGGGGGAAACCCUGAUGCAGCGACGCCGCGUGGGUGAAGAAGCGCCUCGGCGCGUAAAGCCCUGUCAGCAGGGAAGAAAAUGACGGUACCUGAAGAAGAAGCCCCGGCUAACUACGUGCCAGCAGCCGCGGUAAUACGUCGGGGGCAAACGUUAUCCGGAUGUACUGGGUGUAACGGGGGCGCAGACGGCGAUGCAAGCCAGGAGUGAAAGCCCGGGGCCAAACCCCGGGACUGCUGUUGGUACUGCGUGGCUAGAGUGCAGGUGGGGAAGGCGGAAUUCCUGGUGUAGCGGUGAAAUGCGUAGAUAUCAGGAGGAACACCGGUGGCGAAGGCGGCCUGCUGGACUGCAACUGACGUUGAGGCCCGAAAGCGUGGGGAGCAAACAGGAUUAGAUACCCGGGUAGUC